rnacentral:lncRNA from 1 species
CACUCCCACCCCAUUCACCUCUACCUACCCCCACCUUAACACCCUUCACCCACCCACACAUACAUACCCACCCCCACACACACCCACCCGCGCACACACACACACCAACCCACAAACACACACACAUACAUACCCACCCACACACUCACCCACUCGCACACACCAACCCACAAACACACACACACAUACAUACCCACCCACACACACACCCACCCACGCGCGCACACACACACACUAACCCACAAACACACACACAUACAUACCCACCCACCCACACACCCACCCGCGCACACACACACACCAACCCACAAACACACACACACACGUACAUACCCACCCACAUACUCACCCACCCGCACACACCAACCCACAAACACACACACACACAUACAUACCCACCCACGCGCACACACACACACACACCAACCCACAAACACACACACACAUGCAUACCCACCCAUCCACACACACACACACACAUAUACAUACCCACACACACACACCCGCACACACACAUACAUACCCACCCACACACACACACCCACCCGCACACACACACACCAACCCACAAACACACACACAUAUAUAUAUACCCACCCACCUACACACAUACCCGCACACACACACAUACAUACCCACCCACACACACACACCCGCACACACACACCAACCCACCUACACACACACACACCCUCCCGUACACACACACAUACAUACCCACCAACGCAGCCACACACACACACAAACACAUUCACACACCCCCACAAACACACACCCACACACACACAAACCCACACCUACNCCCCCCCCACACACACACAAACCCACACCCACCCCCACCCCCACCCCCACCCUCACAGACCCACACCCAUACACACACAAACCCACACAUACCCCCACAAACACACACAUACACACAUAAAAAC